UACGUAGGGUGCGAGCGUUAAUCGGAAUUACUGGGCGUAAAGCGUGCGCAGGCGGCUUUGCAAGACAGAUGUGAAAUCCCCGGGCUUAACCUGGGAACUGCAUUUGUGACUGCAAGGCUGGAGUGCGGCAGAGGGGGAUGGAAUUCCGCGUGUAGCAGUGAAAUGCGUAGAUAUUACAAGGAACACCAAUGGCGAAGGCAGCUUGCUGGGCUUCUUCUGACACUGAGGUACGAAAGCGUGGGGAGCGAACAGG
rnacentral:rRNA from 1 species